ACGGAGGGUGCAAGCGUUAAUCGGAAUUACUGGGCGUAAAGCGUGCGUAGGUGGUUCGUUAAGUCCGUUGUGAAAGCCCCGAGCUCAACUUGGGAAUUGCAGUGGAUACUGGCGAGCUGGAGUGCGGUAGAGGAAGGUGGAAUUCCCGGUGUAGCGGUGAAAUGCGUAGAGAUCGGGAGGAACACCAGUGGCGAAGGCGGCCUUCUGGACCAGCACUGACACUCAAGCACGAAAGCGUGGGGAGCAAACAG
rnacentral:rRNA from 1 species